CUUUGCUUGCAUUACUUUGAAAGUUCUAAUUUCCGUUAAUUAUUAAAAAAUAUGGCAGUUCAGCUCCCAGCUUUUAGAUCAAAGUUGUGCCUACAAUUCUCUUACAGUCUGAGAGCAAAAUCUGACAGAGCUUUCAGCUGUGAUUCUCUUGGGAAACAUUCCUUAGGGUGUUGAACUGAGCACCAGCCUCAGUGAAGCAUAAGACAUCCCCCAUCUGUUAUUUUGCAGUAUAUACAUUACCCCCUCUUUUCCUUCUGCCCCUACUUGCACCCCUAUCUCCCCCAUUUCUGAAAAUAAGAUUCAGGUAAAUUUUUGCUUAAUCUUAGCUAUUGCUAAUAAUAACCAGUUUUGUUUGCUCUUUGAAUUGAAAGGAAGUAUGAUACAAAAGUAAUUAUCUUAAGUUUCAUCUUAAGUCAUGUUAGAAGUACAAACAAAUUCUUUGGCUCUAAAGUGAGAAAAGGCCAUGAAUUAGAUAUCUUGAGAUGACAGGUGAAGUCAUAGAGACACUAUGAAAUGCAGCACCAUUGAAAGCACUUGUUCCAGGAUAUUCUUUGAGGUGGGUACAGCACAGAAGGAAACAUCUUCAGGUCAAUUGCAUACUGCUCUUGCCCUUGCUGCUAGCCAGGAGGAGGACAUGCUCCUCCUGUAUGGAUGUGUAUGGAUGCCUGGUGAGCAUCAGGUGCUGGAAGAGUGUGCCUGGAGAAAGCGUGAUAAAUAUCUCAGUGCUGUAAACAUACCAUUCACCCAUGCUUAAACAAGCUGUGAAAAUGACUGGUGAGCUCCCUGAGUACUAUUACUGUAUAACUGAUCAUGGUUUAUUUUACCAAAACUUUAUUAAAUCCUAAUGCUUUGCUUUUGUACUCAACUCUCCUUCUACUGACCUUGAAAACAUCUUAUGAAAAUAAGUAAACAUUAUUCCCUUUUACAAAGGACACACAAAUGUUAUUGUAAAAACAACACAUACCAAAUUUAAGGAUGUACAAAUUCUGUUGAGAGAAAUAGAAAGGUGAGGAAGCUGCUUUGCUCAGUUACCAGAAAACUGGUGCUUUCCAGCACCAGUGACCGUUAGGAUGGGAAACAAAGAGUCACUUACCCUUUCCUUGAGAGUUCUAGUCAACAUCCAACCUAUCUUGGAGCAAAGAAAGACACAACACUAUAUCAUUAAAUAAGUUCUAAGUCACUAUAUGUUACAAAGAUGUUAACCAUGACAGAAAAAAAAAACACCACAUAUAUAUCUGAAUUAUUUUUCUAUUUUACCAUUAAUGGUAGGUUACUAACAGCUGUAAGUUUAAACAUGCAUGGUCAAUUAAUUAUAUGUGUAUAUAUAUAUAUAUCACAGGUGACAUUUUAAUAUUUAGUAUCUGUUAAUGCUUAAUAAGAAAUUAAAAAUGUGAUUUAGAUCUUGACUUCUGUUUAUUCUUUAAGAAUUGACUAGGGUAACAAUGUUUAAUGGUUUUUCAUUUCAUUUAAUUUUAUUUGGGCAGUUAUCGGAGAACCACUUUGCCAUAUUUAAUUUCAUUGCAUUGAGACAUCCUGAUUACAGUGGUGUCAUAAAUACCUCAUUUAUAUUUGGUGUUUCCAAUUUUGCCUUUCUGCCAAAAUCAGCUUUAAAUGUAAAAUAAAACCAGACUUCUUCUACAUGACACUUAACCCUAGAUUACCACUAUUAGACAGUCUAAACACUGUUUUCUAGCUAACACCUCUAAAGCGUUAACAGAACAUUGUUUCCUCAGCAUGCAAGCUUUUGGCCAUAAGGUUUAAAGAUUUUCUGGUCAAUUCUAAAAUUAAUAAUUACCUAGUAAUUAAGAACACACCUCAACUGCUAGCUCAAUAUUGCCUUGAAAAUAAAUAAAUAAAUAAAUAAACAAAUAAAUCUAGGCACAACUGUUAUGCGGAAUUGAAAAAAUAUGCCACAGGUUUCAUAUUUUCUCUCUUUUUAACAAACCAUGUUUUUACAAACCACUCUUUUUAACAAAUCUGUAUUCCUUCUGGAUCUCUAUGAAAUAUAUUUCCUUUUUGCAUUUUUGUAUAAUCUUCAAAGAGCUGUCAUCUGUACUACAUAUUGCUGUCAGGUUUAGAUAAACACAUCCAUUUUGCUCACUUCAACAUGUCAUGAUCUUUUAGAGACUGAUGCAGGAAAAGCAGCAUGAACAGUAUUGUGUGAUAUUAAUUAUAUAUAACUGAUGUACAUUUAACCUUUCUAUUACAGGGCAUUAUUCAAGUAAGUCUAUGCCAGUUUUAGGAAACCUUUGUCUUUUUUAGGACAUUUUGUUUUAGUUAUCCAAGACAAUAUUUUUAUACUACUACUAUAAUUUUUUUUUAUUAUUAUUAUUAUUUUUUUUAGUGGAAAUUCAUUCUGUCUAAAAUGUGGAAGCUUAUCCAAGUGGGUAAAGUUCAGAUUGAUCAUAUGUGUAUUGCAUUUCCUGGAUUUGUGAUUACAUAUUUCUAAAAUUCCUAGAGCUAACAGGAAUUAAGAAGUUUGGCAAUUGCUCAAAAAUAGCAAAUCAGCCCUUCUAGAUGUUAGCACUGGGUUAAUGCUCAUAUGGGUAACUGAGUCUCUCAGAUAGGAUGGUUGGUUGCAGAGGGAAGGUAGAAGGAAAAGAAGAGCUACGCUGAAUUCAUAUUUGUCACUCUCAAUGAGAUAGAAGCUCUGGAGAAGUUUGUUAAGGACCAAGAGCUUGUGUGGCUCAUGGGAACUUUAAAAAGUGUGAUACCAUCAUUGGAAGCCCUUGAGUCCAUGCUGAAUAUUGCCGUUGUGCUCAAAUGGAAUCAGAACUUCCAAAGCAAGAGCAAGAUUGUGGGGUUUUAAGUGUAUGUCUCAAAAAAGCUAAAUUCAAAACAGGGUCAA